UCCGGUUUGUCACCGGCGGUCCCCUUAGAGUUCCCAACUGAAUGCUGGCAACUAAGGGCAAGGGUUGCGCUCGUUGCGGGACUUAACCCAACAUCUCACGACACGAGCUGACGACAGCCAUGCAGCACCUGUCUCCAGGUUCCCGAAGGCACCCCCACAUCUCUGCGGGGUUCCUGGGAUGUCAAGCCCUGGUAAGGUUCUUCGCUUAGCAUCGAAUUAAACCACACGCUCCACCGCUUGUGCGGACUCCCGUCUAUUCCUUUGAGUUUUAAGCUUGCGCUCGUACUACCCAGGCGGAAUGCUUAAUGCGUUAGCUGCGCCACCGAAGAGCAAGCUCCCCAACGGCUGGCAUUCAUCGUUUACGGCGUGGACUAC
rnacentral:misc_RNA from 1 species